rnacentral:rRNA from 1 species
UUUGACAUGUACGGAAUUCGCCAGAGAUGGCUUAGUGCUCGAAAGAGAGCCGUAACACAGGUGCUGCAUGGCUGUCGUCAGCUCGUGUCGUGAGAUGUUGGGUUAAGUCCCGCAACGAGCGCAACCCUUGUCAUUAGUUGCUACAUUCAGUUGGGCACUCUAAUGAGACUGCCGGUGACAAACCGGAGGAAGGUGGGGAUGACGUCAAGUCCUCAUGGCCCUUAUAGGUGGGGCUACACACGUCAUACAAUGGCUGGUACAAAGGGUUGCCAACCCGCGAGGGGGAGCUAAUCCCAUAAAACCAGUCGUAGUCCGGAUCGCAGUCUGCAACUCGACUGCGUGAAGUCGGAAUCGCUAGUAAUCGUGGAUCAGAAUGUCACGGUGAAUACGUUCCCGGGUCUUGUACACACCGCCCGUCACACCAUGGGAGCGGGUUCUGCCAGAAGUAGUUAGCUUAACCGCAAGGAGGGCGAUUACCACGGCAGGGUUCGUGACUGGGGUG